rnacentral:rRNA from 1 species
AGUGAACGCUGGCGGUAGGCCUAACACAUGCAAGUCGAACGGCAGCACAGUAAGAGCUUGCUCUUACGGGUGGCGAGUGGCGGACGGGUGAGGAAUACAUCGGAAUCUACUUUUUCGUGGGGGAUAGCGUAGGGAAACUUACGCUAAUACCGCAUACGACCUACGGGUGAAAGCAGGGGAUCUUCGGACCUUGCGCGAUUGAAUGAGCCGAUGUCGGAUUAGCUAGUUGGCGGGGUAAAGGCCCACCAAGGCGACGAUCCGUAACUGGUCUGAGAGGAUGAUCAGCCACACUGGAACUGAGACACGGUCCAGACUCCUACGGGAGGCAGCAGUGGGGAAUAUUGGACAAUGGGCGCAAGCCUGAUCCAGCCAUACCGCGUGGGUGAAGAAGGCCUUCGGGUUGUAAAGCCCUUUUGUUGGGAAAGAAAAGCAGCAGGUUAAUACCCCGCUGUUCUGACGGUACCCAAAGAAUAAGCACCGGCUAACUUCGUG